rnacentral:rRNA from 1 species
UACGAAGGGGGCUAGCGUUGCUCGGAAUCACUGGGCGUAAAGGGCGCGUAGGCGGCCAUUCAAGUCGGGGGUGAAAGCCUGUGGCUCAACCACAGAAUUGCCCUUCGAUACUGUUUGGGCUUGAGUAUGGUAGAGGUUGGUGGAACUGCGAGUGUAGAGGUGAAAUUCGUAGAUAUUCGCAAGAACACCGGUGGCGAAGGCGGCCAACUGGACCAUUACUGACGCUGAGGCGCGAAAGCGUGGGGAGCAAACAGG